CCGACGUGGGCACCCGCGGGAGUUGCUCUCUCCUGGCUCUGCCCGUGUGGCGCACGGGGGCGCGGGCCUUCGGCCUCCGUGACGCGCGGUCCCCUUCCACCGCGUUGGAGAACCAGCCGGGCCUCCGGUCUGCAGAUUCCUACGGCUUCUCUGAGUCCCCGGCCUGUGGCCGAGGAGAGAACCCGUGCGGGAGACAUCG
ensembl:snoRNA SNORA73 Small nucleolar RNA SNORA73 family